CUACGGGAGGCUGCAGUGAGGAAUAUUGCACAAUGGGGGGAACCCUGAUGCAGCAACGCCGCGUGGAGGAUGACGCAUUUCGGUGUGUAAACUCCUUUUAUAUGUCAAGAAAAUGACGGUAGCAUAUGAAUAAGCACCGGCUAACUCCGUGCCAGCAGCCGCGGUAAUACGGAGGGCGCAAGCGUUACUCGGAAUCACUGGGCGUAAAGGACGCGUAGGCGGGUUGGAAAGUCAGGUGUGAAAGCCUACAGCUUAACUGUAGAACUGCAAUUGAAACUUCUAAUCUAGAGUAUGGGAGGGGGAGAUGGAAUUAGUGGUGUAGGGGUAAAAUCCGUAGAUAUCACUAGGAAUACCUAAAGCGAAGGCGAUCUCCUGGAACAUUACUGACGCUAAGGCGUGAAAGCGUGGGGAGCAAACAGGAUUAGAUACCCUAGUAGUC
rnacentral:rRNA from 1 species